AGUGAACGCUGGCGGCGUGCCUAAUACAUGCAAGUCGAGCGAACAGAUAAUAAGCGCUCUCCCCUGACGUUAGCGGGUGGCGGGCGGGUAACACGUGGAUAACCUUCCUAUUUUACUUGGAGAAUAACGGAAAGCCGGUGAUGAUACUAGAGAAUACACUGAACCGGUUGGAUCAGUAGAUAUACGCGCCUUUCGUGACACAUAGAGCCGGAUCCGGGCCGCAUUAGUGAGUUGGUAAGGUAACGGCUUACCAAGGCAACGAUGCGGAGCCGACCUGAGAGGAUGAUCGGCCACACUGGAACUGAGACACGGUCCAGACUCCUACGGGAGGCGGCAGUGGGGAAUAUUCGGCAAUGGGCGAAAGCCUGACGCAGCAACGCCGCGUGAGUGAUGAAGGUCUUCGGAUCGUAAAGCUCUUUUAUUGGGGAAGAAAAGCUGUGUGUGAAAAUCCCGCCGUCUUGACGGUACCCAAAGAAAAAGCAACGGCUAACUACGUG
rnacentral:rRNA from 1 species